GUUGAAGUGGUUGUGUUUUCCUUUAAAAAAUUGGCUUGAAAAAUUCCGGAUUUGAAUCGAAUCGGAACUAAACCCCUAGUUGACCCCCUUCCUGUAUAAAACAAAAAGUUGAACCAAUCGUCUUUUCGAGAUGUCACUAGGUGGUUCCACUCCACUGACAGUCUUGCAGCUUCCAGGCGGACAGGUUCAGGUACAAGGAGUUAUACAGACUGCACAGUCCUCUUCAGUAAUUCAGUCUCCACAGAUGCAGAAUGUUCAA